rnacentral:lncRNA from 1 species
GCCAACACGGCAUUGAUGGCGCACAGUGUUGGCAGCGCGACAGGAGGCAGCUUGGAACUCGACGUUGUCAAGGCGUUAGUCGUGAUGCGGAGUUGCGCGACGUGUAAGUAAGAGACACAAGAGACA